rnacentral:rRNA from 1 species
CAGUCGCCGCGGUAAUACGUAGGGUGCGAGCGUUAAUCGGAAUUACUGGGCGUAAAGCGUGCGCAGGCGGUUUGUUAAGACAGAUGUGAAAUCCCCGGGCUCAACCUGGGAACUGCAUUUGUGACUGGCAGGCUAGAGUAUGGCAGAGGGGGGUGGAAUUCCGCGUGUAGCAGUGAAAUGCGUAGAUAUGCGGAGGAACACCGAUGGCGAAGGCAGCCCCCUGGGCCAAUACUGACGCUCAUGCACGAAAGCGUGGGGAGCAAACAGGAUUAGAUACCCCAGUAGUCCCUGUCUCUUAUAC